AUGGCUUCCGAUGGCACCCCCUGCUUUGACCACGGGCGCCGGCCUCGUUCGAGCCACAAGGUGAUCGCGUCCACGCCGGCCAUGGAGCAACAGGUCUUCCUCCUACAGCAACACGCGGUGAUGGUGACCGCCGUCAGCAAGAUCCACGCCGCCAGCCCGUUCUCCAUUGGUCGGGCGGUCGAGAAGGAGUUCCAGAUACCGGCGCACCUCCUCCGCAUCACCGGCCAUGCCCCGGAGGACUUCUUCAUCCACUUCAACCUGCCCGCCCACAAGGACCUCGUUGUGCGUCGGGGUGCGAUC
rnacentral:rRNA from 1 species